GUGUGUUCCCAACUGCCGGAUAUAUAUUUUCCACAGAAGCCCCUCUGUUCCAGCUCCAGGUGGCCAUAGGAAGAGGGAGCUCAAGAGAGCAAGAAAAGAAGGAGGCGCGAGUGAGGAGAGCACACCGAGAGGACAGGGAAGCAUGCCUUGGACCACGUGUCGUGGGGAUAUGGUGAAGCGGCGGUACCUGUGGUGGGCUUUGGGAUGGCAGUUUAGGCAACUGUUACCACUGCCCUUCCUGGGCCGAAAAGUGCACCGCAGGACCUGGCUGGACCCAAGUGGGGAAUCGGUACUGAAGAUCAACCAAGCCAGGCCAUGGGGACGCAGGGAGCCCCCACAGGUCAGUCACAGAAGGAUGGGUGGAGAUGAGACUGAGGAUGCCAACCUGGCUAGGCUGCGCCACUUGUGGAGAUGUGUGUGUGUGUCCUUGAAUUGUGUGGCGAUUCCCGCCUCCCCCCAAUUGGAAUAAAUAAAGACACAGGAUACCAUUGAUUAAGGUUAAUGGGCAAAAAUUGGCCACAACUUUAUUGGUUACAGGUAAGAGUGGUAUUGGCUUUAGGCAUUGGUCCUAUCAGACUAUCCAGCUUCAGACUGUUAGCAUGAACACCGGAAAGGGUUAACACCAGCAGCAGGAGCCCUGGGAUGCACAUCACUAGGAACUCCCCCAGGGGUCACCGCUCGGGGGCGUGCUUUGGGCCCUGGCCUCCAUAGGUUUCAGACGAGACAACGCCCCCCGGAAUCCUUUACCAGGUUACCCUUUAAUAUUUGGGGGAGGUGAUGGCGCUCCUCCCCCCCAACACAUCUAUAUAAUAAAACCAAAUCUGGAGCUGGGACGAAAAGGGGAGAUCCCGGGGCCACGCCAGGCUUAAAUGUCCCAGGCCACGCCCCCAGAGCCAGCUGAUUGGCUGGCUCUGGGGCUGACGCGGCCCGAGGAUUCCCCUGGUCGCGUGGGGCUGCAGCCAGCCCCACAUGAUUGUUGGGGGCGUGAGCCCGCAACACCACCUCCUCCUUAUGUCGGAAGUGGCUUUCUACUCAGGGCCGUCUUAAGCAUAUCCGGUGCCGUGGUGCAAAUAUCUCUCCAGCACCCACCCACCCAUUUCCCAGAGUUUUUAUUAAGGUGGGGGGGACUUUGGUCCAGCUGGUUCACAUCAUGUGGUCCAGCGCACGCUCAGCGAGGCACGUAAGUAAGAGGCGCCCGGAUCAUAGCUGUCAACCUUCCCUUUUUUUGUGGGAAAUUCCCUUAUUCCAGCACCAUUUACCACUGCUUCCCACUGCUAUCCCGGAUUGUUAGAUAUCCCGUAGACUGUCCCCAGGACAGGUGAGGCUGCUGAUCCCUUAUUUUCGAGGCUGCUGAUCCCUUAUUUUCAAAUCUGAAAGUUGACAGCUAUGGCCCAGAUCGCAGCCCAGAUGGCCUCCCAUGAAGCCUCCCUCUAAGCGCCCGGUGCCCCUUACCUGCCCCCGUCCGGGGAAGUCUGCGCCACUGGAGGGCCAGCAAGCAGAUCAAGUGGCUUCCCGGCUGUGCCAUCCUCGCUCGGCGCCAGGAUCGCACAGGGCGCUUCUCUGCUUCGCUCGCAGACUCCGCAGGGAAGCACGCAGGCAGCGACAUGGCCAGAGAGGAGUGCCCCACGCCUGCCCCCAAUCGCACCCAUCAGGCACCCAGGCAGCAGCCCUGGUGGGAGGGGACACAAAGGGGCUUCCCUGAGCCGGACGCAGCAUGCUCCAAUGGGUGGCUGAGAGGAGAGGAGUGGGCUGCCCCAGGGUGGGGAAGGGAGCGCGCCCUGACUCUCCUUGCCUGACACUCAGCCUGUGGCACCCUCCAAAAUCUGGUGCCCUGCGCCACUAAUGUCUAUGGGUAAGACUCCCCUGAUUCUACUCAAUAUUGAUCCAGAGCAGAUUCCAAUAAUAAUAAUAAUAAUAAUAAUAAUAAUAAUAAUUUAUUUAUACCCUGUUCAUCUGGCUGGGUUUCCCCAGCUACUCUGGGCGGCUUCCAACAAAAUAUUAAAAAUACAUUUAAACAUCAGUCAUUAAAAACUUCCCUAAACAGGGCUGCCUUCAGAUGUCUUCUAAACUUCAGAUAGUUGUUUGUUUCUUUGACAUCUGAUGGGAGGGCGUUCCACAGGGUGUAUAGUUAGCAGUGUAAAAACUUAAACAUGUUGCCCAAAAAAUAGACCAAAGGCAAUUAUAUUUCAUCCAGCGGAGCUUUAAUGCUACUGAAGGCAAAUGAGCAUAAUUGUCACAAAUCCAAUACAUUCAGGAUUGGCACUGUCCAUAAAAAAUCCAGUUGCAGCAAACUUAACUUAAACUUACAAUAACUUAUAAUAAGACUAAACCUUAACGCUAUAUACAGAACACCACACCAGAAGGAAAACAGUUAGAAAGAGAAAGUGAAACCUAGGCUCCUCCUGGCUUUUUAUUAACUUGAAGAAAACAGAGCCAGUUUAAGCUAGCUGUACUCAGCUACUCUGAAGGAAUAACCCAAACAUCAGGAACCUUCUGCUUGCUUCUGUCACACAGAGAAGCUUCCAGAACCCUCUUGAAUUAAUUAGAAAAGGAAAGAUCUCUACAUAUCAGAUCAAUACUUUCUGCACUAAGAAAUGCAAACUGACAGUGUGUGUGUGAAAGCUUCUCCGAGUCCUUCCCACCAAAGUCUCUUCAUGUAACACAAUGGUGGAGAGUCCUUCUCAGCUCGAGGUCCACAUUUCCUUCUGGGCAAUCUUCUGGGGGCCACAUUCCAGAGCUACAUUUCCCAGAGUUCAGUUCCCUGGAAGAUGGACUGAUUGCUAACUUGCUUUGUGAACUGUAACUCUGCGGAGGAAAUGGCGGGGUCUGCUAGCAACUCGCGGCACCCUUAGCAAGCUACAAUUCCCAGGAAUCUAUGGGAAAGCCAGAAGUUUAAAAGUGGUAUAAUUGUGCUGGUCCCGGGGGGAGGUUACCGUGGGGCGAGGUCCAGGACCUGAGUCGAGGGUCAGCAGACAGUCCUCCAUGGGCAAAGCGGAGUCCAAAGCGGGGAGCCGGGCAAGGACAGGAACUCUGGAGGAACAGGACUGGGUGCUGGCCGAAACAGCUCUUCAAUGAUGUUGCUCCCGCAACCUGGGACCGGGCUGACUGGCCUUUAUCUUCUCUGAGGCCAGGGGCGGUCCCGGCCCCCAGGAGACCCGCCUCUCCUGGCCUUAAGGCGAGCACUCCUCCUGGGAGAAACCAGUUCCCUCCGCCUCUCUGCCCUGAGCCUCUGCAGCUCAGGAGAGGCUGGAGGGUUACUGGACCCAGGGGGAGACUCACCUUCCCCUGACAGGGCUGGGAGAGGCGCACCUGUAGGCACUGUGUCCUCAACCACCUCCGGAGCCAGAGUGGAUUCACCUGUUGCCUGCUCCUGAGGAUCCAGCACUGGUGCAGGCACUUCAGAAUCAAGGCCCUGCCCCAGUUCAGCCGGCCCUGGAGGCGGGGACUCCUGUGCAGGCUGGGAUUCCUCCGGUUCAGCCUCUGAAUCGGAUUCCCAGGCCAUCACAAUAACGAUACUUUAAAUGUAAGGUUCAAGUGUGGCCUUGGAGUUGUAUUAAACCAAAUUUAAUUCAGAGUCAACACACUGAAAUUAAUGGCCAUGGUAAAGGUAAAGGACCCCUGGACGGUUAAGUCCAGUCAGUGGUGACUAUGGGGUUGUGGCGCUCAUCUUGCUACAGGCCAAGGGAGCUGGCGUUUGUCCACAGACAGCUUUCCUGGUCAUGUGGCCAGCAGGACUAAACCGCUUCUGGCACAAUGGAAAACCAUGACGGAAUCCAGAGCGCACGGAAACACCGCUUACCUGCUCGUCACAGUGGUACCUAUUUAUCUACUUCCACUUUUUGGCGUUCUUUCGAACUGCUAGGUUGGCAAGAGUUGGGACAGAGCAACAGGAGCUGACCCUGUUGCACGGAUUUGAACCGCUGACCUUCUGAUCGGCAAGGCCAAGAGGCUCAGUGGUUUAGACCACAGCGCCACCCACGUCCCAUGGCAAAUGUAUGGCAAUCAAUUCCCAAUAGGUCUAUUCUGAGUAAAUGUUAAAUGAUGACUACCUUUCGUUUCCACUUCUCACAUUCCUUAGGGAAGCUGCCUUACACCAAGUCAGACCAUCGGUCCAUUUAGCUCAAUGUUGCCUGAACUGACGGGCAGCAGUCUUCCAGGUAUCAAACAGGGGACAUUAUUAUUAUUAUUAUUAUUAUUAUUAUUAUUAUUAGAAUUUAUGCACCACCCUAUACCCAGAGGUCUCAGGGCAGUUCACAGAAAAGACCAACAUGAAAUCACAAUAUAAAUAAUCAAAAUGAAAACAACAACCCACUAGCACCCCCGCCCAAAAAAGAGCCACGUUUUAAAAGGGCAUAGGGACAUUCCUAGUCUUAACUGAAGGUAAGUGUAAAGAUAAAGGUAAAGGACCUCUGAAUGGUUAAGUCCAGUCAAAGGUGACUAUAGGGUUGUGGCACUCAUCUCACUUUCAGGCUAAGGGAGUCAAUGUUUGUUCACAGACAGCUUUCCAGGUCAUGUGGCCAGCAGGACUAAACCGCUUCUGGCACAAUGGAACACCGUGACGGAAGCCAGAGUGCAUGGAAACGCUGUUUAUCUUCCUGCCACAGUGCUACCUAUUUAUCUACUUGCACUGGUGUGCUUUUGAACUGCUAGGUUGGCAGGAGCUGGGACAGAGCAACAGGAGCUCAACCCGUUGCGCAGAUUCGAACCGCCGACCUUCUGAUUGGCAAGCCGUAGGCUCAGUGGUUUAGACCACAACACCACCAGGGAUUGAACCUAAUACAUUCUGCAUACAGAGCAGAUGUUCUAGCACUGAGUCAAAUCCCUUCCCCAAAAGGCCCGUCCCUUGAUUUUUCCAGAACAUUUAGGAAAUAAUAGCCAUCCAAACUAACUCUUUAAGAAAUGAUUUCAGAGAUCCAACACUCCACCAGUCCACUUUAAUGGAGCAUAGAUGGGGCCAGCUACAAAUGGCUUAGAUUGUUUAAUGGAAAAUAGUGGAUGAGGUAAAGAUUAGGAAAACGAUAUAGUGAGGGGGCACAGAUUAAAGAAGGAGAAGAUAGAGAGUCGGACGUUGCUGAGGUGAUGAAGAGACGGUGGUUGGGAUUGCAGCCAAAAUUGCAAAAGAGCUAAAAUGUAAUUAUUCUAUUUUCAGGCUCAAUUGUAAGAACAGUCUGACCAUUAAGUUAUUGAUGGCACAACGGCAAGGUAGGUCAUGAGUUUUUCUCUCCCUUUGAAAGUGUCAGGCUGUAGAGAGAGAAUGAUAGCUUCUAAUCUUACCCAGAAAAAACUGUGUGGUACUGUCAACCACGUCUAGAUAUUUAAACUGCCACCUGCUAGGGAUGCUGGAGUUGCAAGAUUGCUGCACCGAGAAAAGAAUUUGAUUAGAUAGCUCCACAAGAUCCCUUCCAACUCUACAAUUCUAUUGUUUUAUGUCUUCAUAUUAUUCUAAUUAUUGCUACUACAACUACUACCUGCAAAGUCCCAGGGGAGGCUGCAACAAUUUAAAAUUAAAAAACGAGAAGAAAGUUGCAACAGAUUAUAAUCACAGGGGUAAGAAAGCCCUGAGAUGUCCUUUUUUUAUAUAACAGCAGCAGAAGCAUCUUCAGGUUGGUAAGAUUUGUGAGGCAGGCUAGGCCCAGAGAGUAUGACUGCCCCAAAGUCCCCCAGUGAGCUAUAGGGUUGAGUAGGGAUCCCUCAGGUCAGUGGCUCCAACUCUAAGGAGUCCCUUUGAGACCCCAAUAAUACAUCAGACUGAGCUCCUUGAAGGAUAAAAAUAUAGUAACUAGAAUAAGGUGGGAACAGGAUAUUUGGGAGCAUGACUGGGGAGAAGCAGUUGUUGUUGUUUAGUCGUUUAGUCGAAAUGAUAAGCCAAAGAAUGGCUUGCCAGGACCAUACAAAUGUGCAAACUACUGGAAUUUACAGCCAUUUUGCCCCUCUCUGGCCCUCUUGAUUAAGUUUAACAUGUUUGUUGUCUGAACCUGGGCUCGUGGCUAAGCUCUCUCCUCACUAAUCUUUGUUAGCAACAUCACUUAAAUAAUGUGAGCAUUCAUUGUAAGGAGAGCUGGGCAUCCUUUGUUGUUGUUUAGUCGUUUAGUCGUGUCCGACUAUUCGUGACCCCCUGGACCAGAGCACGCCAGGCACUCCUGUCUUCCACUGCCUCCCGCAGUUUGGUCAAACUCAUCGAGAACACUGUCCUACCAUCUCGUCCUCUGUCGUCCCCUUCUCCUUGUGCCCUCAAUCUUUCCCAACAUCAGGGUCUUUUCCAGGGAGUCUUCUCUUCUCAUGAGAUGGCCAAAGUAUUGGAGCCUCAGCUUCAGGAUCUGUCCUUCCAGUGAGCACUCAGGGCUGAUUUCCUUAAGAAUAGAUAGGUUUGAUCUUCUUGCAGUCCAUGGGACUCUCAAGAGUCUCCUCCAGCACCAUAAUUCAAAAGCAUCAAUUCUUUGGCGAUCAGCUUUCUUUAUGGUCCAGCUCUCACUUCCAUACAUCAUUACUGGGAAAACCAUAGCUUUUACUAUACAGACCUUUGUUGGCAAAGUGAUGUCUCUGCUUUUUAAGAUGCUGUCUAGGUUUGUCAUUGCUUUUCUCCCAAGAAGCAGGCGUCUUUUAAUUUCGUGGCUGCUGUCACCAUCUGCAGUGAUCAUGGAGAAGCAGUACUGAGGUAAAAAAAACAUAGGAUUUUGGUUUGGGGCCCCAAAGGGGUCCACUACAGUCGGAGAAGACGGGUGAAUGUCCAAACAGGGAGAGAAAGAAGCAAGCAGCUUUUUAAAAGCAAAGAUCCUUUAUUCAGUUGCCAUCAGGUUCCCUACACGAAGGUGACAAAAGGUACAAGGAACCCAAAGGUAAGUCCAGAAUUUUAUACAGUCACAAUUGUGGGUGGUCUUAUUUGUUAUAAGAAAAACUUGUUCUUUCUCCCUUAUAGGGUACCCAAGAGCCCGUAUAGAGACCUUAUGUAGGUUCCCUAUCGGUAGGAGAAAAUAACAGAGACCAACCAGAGAAUAUUGAGAAGCGAAGCCUGAUCUUUAUUAACUGUUGCUACAGGGGGCUCACAACCACAUGCAGGAGGCAGGAGGGACCCAGAACAUUGGUGUGCAAGCUCUUAUAUAGACUUUUGAAAUUGCCCACCCUGUAGCCCAAGACCACCCCCCUGAAACAUCAUACAUACAUCACAGAAGGAGGUGGUCUACAGCAGAAAUCCUGUUUGCCAGGGUACCUGAUAAUGGUCACUGAUUGCUUUUACCUGGGCAGUCUGGCUACUCUUUUGGGAUGGUAAAUACUCAGUUCCUGAAUCCAGGUCACAGGCUCACCCUAUUCAAACACAGAUACGCCCUUAAGACAGGGUUUGUCAGCAAAGAGACAAUGGGGAGGUUUUCCCAUUUCAAAACAUUUGAGGUCAAUUAGGGAGAAACUAAUUGACCAAACUGCGGGAGGCAGUGGAAGACAGGAGUGCCUGGUGUGGUCUGGUCCAUGGGGUCAUGAAGAGUCGGACAUGACUAAACAACAACAGGGAGAGUCAAAAUGGUUUCAGGACUGAUUUCCUGUACUGUUUUCAGACAUGUGGUUUAUACUGUAUAUAUUUGAGACCUUAAAUUCUUAUAACAUAUUUGUCACAAAUUCGUCAAAUUACAAGGUAAGGGGGAGGUACAUGGGUGCAGGGUGCAAAAGGGAGGUUUGGGUGCAAGAUACAAGGUGGCGUGUAAAUACUAUCCACAUGAGUUAGGUAAUACCUAGAAAUCCAGGAAGAGAUGGCAAAUGAUAUGGUAAUCCGUUUUUUCAAGAUUAGCAAUAAGGAUGAGAGUGUCAUCCAACAGUUGGAUUUUUCUCCCUACAGGGUCAAAGGAAAUGGAUCUGGUCCUCUGGCACUUUACAGAAGAAGGAAGGGAAGCUGAGUGGAAGUGAUUAGUUUGAGGCUAAAAACAACAUUUAUACUUUCAUGGUUACAAUAAAGUGGUGCAAUUUGAA